CAGCAAACUGUGUCUGCUGUGCUUGCGAUCUCAUACAACAGGCUGCCAUAUGAUCCGGUGGUCACCGUCUGAAUCGUGAGCUUUUCCAGUCUUUCCUCUCGUCAUCUCCAGUCUUCUUCCUCGCCACUACACCUUCAUCUACACACAUCUUCGCCAUCUACACAGACAUCUACAUAUCCAGUCAUCAUAGUCGCCAUCACCAACAUCACCAUCAACAUAGAACUACUUCAUCUCAGCAUUCAUCAUUUUCAUGUAAGCUUACGUUUCAUUCUAUUUGAUAAUGUUGUUUAUUCAUGGUGUUUCCCACAGAUUUUUUUAGUUCUUUUACACUAUGACCUCUUGGCCGUAGCCUCCGGACCGUGCUCUAGCCUCCUUCAUAUUCACUGUUAUGAUUUUUUUUGUAUAACUUGGCAUGGGUCAAGUGUCUUCUUAGGGGCCAGUAUUCCAUAUACAUGCAUAUUUAUAUAUAUGCAUCUCUGAUACUACAUGGUGCACGUUUAUGUACAGUGUA